rnacentral:lncRNA from 1 species
ACAUGAGGCAAAGUUCAUCGAGAAUAUUGUUGAAGUGAUUGCAAGCAAGCUACGUCCCAGAGCCUUAAACAAUGCACCUUACCUCAUUGAAAUCAGUUAUCGGGCUGAAGAUAUUAUCUUGUGGUUACAAGAUAGAUCAACUAAUGUAGGGCUGUAUGUGAUCUGUGGGAUUGGUGGAAUUGGGAAGACAACCCUUGCCAAAUUUGCCUAUAACUCAAGUGCAAGAUCAUUUGAAGGAAGCAGCUUUCUUGCAAACAUCAGUGAAACUGCAAAACAAUGUAAUGGUUUAGUUCGUCUCCAGAAGCAAGUUUUGUAUGAUAUAGUUGGAAAAAAAGAGAGGAUAUCCAAUGCUGAUGAAGGAAUUAUGAUGAUUGAAGAUGCCCUACGCUAUAAACAAAUUCUUCUUGUUCUUGAUGAUGUUGAUGAAGUUGACCAGAUAGAUACAAUUUUAGGAAUGAGAGAUUGGCUUAAUCCUGCUAGUAAAAUCAUUAUAACAACGAGGCAUGAGUCAUUGCUAAAGCCUUCUGUACCUCACAAAGUACUUAAAGUAGAAGCCUUGAAUAAAAUGGAUUCCCUGAAGCUGUUUAGCUGGCAUACCUUCGGAGAAGACCAUCCUUUGGAAUGUUAUCUCGAGCUCUCAAAACGGGUGGUUCUUCAAUGUGCAGGACUUCCUUUAGCUCUUAGUGUAGGUUCAGCGCUGUCGGGUAGAAGACCAGAAAUAUGGGGAAGUGCAUUAGAAAAGCUGGAAACAAUCCCUGAUGGUCAUGUCAUUGAAAAACUUAAAGUGAGUUUUUAUUCUCUAGAAGAUGACCAUGACAAAAAUAUAUUCUUUCAUAGAGCUCUUUUCUUUCUUGGGAUGGAUAGAGACGACUCCGUCAGAAUACUGAAUGGAUGUGGUUUUCACACAAUAAUUGGGAUGCAAAACCUCAUUGAUAGAAGUCUUUUGACAAUCAAUGAGUUAAAUAAGUUGGAGAUGCACCAGUUGCUUCGAGACCUUGCGAGAGAUAUCGUCCGUAGAGAAUCACAGGAUCCUGGAAAACGCACUUAAAUAAGUUGGAGAUGCAUCAGUUGCUUCGAGACCUUGCGAGAGAUAUCGUCCGUAGAGAAUCACAGGAUCCUGGAAAACGCAGUAGACUUUGGAAUAACAAGGAUUCUUUCAGAGUGUUGAACGAUAAGACUGUGAGACAUUUAAAAUGUGUGUUCUUUCCUUCUUUGCUGUGCCGUACCCUUACAAUUUGUUUAUUUCUUAC